rnacentral:misc_RNA from 1 species
CAUGCAAGUAUCCGCUAGCCAGUGAAAUGCCCUUUUACUCACUCUACCUUUAACGAUCAUAAGGAGCUGGCAUCAAGCACACAACUGUAGCUCAAAACGCCUUGCUUAGCCACACCCCCACGGGAUACAGCAGUAAUAAAAAUUUAGCUAUGAACGAAAGUUUGACUAAGCUAUACUGAUGAGGGUUGGUCAAUCUCGUGCCAGCCACCGCGGUCAUACGAUUAACCCAAGUUAAUAAGACUCGGCGUAAAGUGUGGUUAAGUAAAGUAAACUAGUGUAAAAACAAGAAAUACACAACGAAAGUGGCUUUAACAAAUCAGAACACACAAUAGCUAAAACCCAAACGGGGAUUAAAUACCCCACUAUGCUUAGCCCUAAACCUAGAUAAUUAUAACAAAGCURCUCGCCAGARMACUACGAGCMAMAGCUUAAAACUCAAAGGACYUGGCGGUGCUUCAUAUCCCCCUAGAGGAGCCUGUUCUGUAAUCGAUAAACCCCGAUCAACCUCACCACCUCUUGCUAAUCCAGUCUAUAUACCGCCAUCUUCAGCAAACCCUUUAAAGGAUCAAAGUAAGCUUAAUUAUAGUUGAUAAAAACGUUAGGUCAAGGUGUAACUUAUAUGAUGGAAACUAAUGGGCUACAUUACCUUUUAAAGAGCAUUAACGAACACCCUUAUGAAAUACAGUUAAAGGAGGAUUUACCAGUAAGCCAAGAAUAGAGAGCUUGGCUGAAUCAGGCCAUGAAGCACGCACACACCGCCCGUCACCCUCCUCAAAUGUUAUCUGAACAUAAAUAUAUUAGAGGAGACAAGUCGUAACAAGGUAAGCAUACUGGAAAGUGUGCUUGGAUUACAAAGUGUAGCUUAAAACAAAGCAUCUGGCCUACACCCAGAAGAUCUCACCUUUGAACCUAGCCUAAACUAAAACAUUUAUACUAUAAAGUAUAGGAGAUAGAAAUAUGACUUAGGAUAGAAGUACCGCAAGGGAACGAUGAAAGAUAGUAGUAAAUAGCAAAGCUUAAACCUUGUACCUUUUGCAUCAUGGAUUAACUAGAAACCAUUUGACAAAGAGCUAGCAAAACCCCGAAACCAGACGAGCUACUAGAACAAUAAUAGAAUAAACUCGUCUAUGUAGCAAAAUAGUGAGAAGAUUUGUGAGUAGAGGUGAAAAGCCAACGAGCCUGGAGAUAGCUGGUUGUCCAAAAAAAGAAUUAGUUCCCUAAACCCUUAAAGGAYWACCUARCCUUAUUYCGUAAAUUUAGAGCUAAUCAAUARAGGGACAUCUCUAUUGAUUUAGGUUACAACCUUGAUUAGAGAGUAAGUAAGUACAUAAACAUAGUAGGCCCAAAAGCAGCCACCAAUUAAGAAAGCGUUAAAGCUCAACACUAAYUWAAAAUACUAAUUCAACAAAUCCAACAAACUCCAGACAUCUAUUAUAUAARWAMUAAUGUUAGUAUGAGUAACAGAAAACAUUCUCCUGCAAAGCUUAUCAGACGAUGCCCACUGAYARUUAAYAGYCCWUAYAAACMCMAWCWAGCUMAUUAUUYCCACUUUAACCCAACACGGUGCCUAAGGAAAGUUAAAAAAGUAAAAGGAACUCGGCAAAUGACCCGCCUGUUUACCAAAAACAUCACCUCUAGCAUUACUAGUAUUAGAGGCCUGCCUGCCCAGUGACAUUAGUUUUAACGGCCGCGGUACUCUGACCGUGCAAAGGUAGCAUAAUCAUUUGUUCUUUAAUUGAGGACUAGUAUGAAUGGCUUCACGAGAGUUCAACUGUCUCUUACUUCCAAUCAGUGAAAUUGACCUCCCCGUGAAGAGGCGGGAAUAAUAUAUAAGACGAGAAGACCCUAUGGAGCUUUAAU